GCAAGCAAGUGCAAGAAAAAUCAAAGAAAAACCAAAGAAGAAAGGAAAGAGAGACUUGAUUGGAAAACUGCCAAAACAGAAGGGAAUUCGAAGAGAACAACCCCUAGUACUCGAAAUCGAGCUGUAAACGGUGCUAUCGAAGGGUAAACCGAUCAAGGUAUAUUAGCAUGCCGGGUACCCCGGAGACAAGCAGGAGAAAAGGCUACGAGGAGGCCGAUGUUUAAUUUAACUCCAUGUUGAUCAUGUGCUAUGGAUCUUAUGUAGCCUUUGCAUUUAUUUGAGACUUGUGUAUCGCAAUUGUAUAAACAGGGGUUAUGUAAGGCUUCCAUGAUAUGGGUUUAUUCGCUAGUUUGGGCGUGA